GAUGAACGCUGGCGGCGUGCUUAACACAUGCAAGUCGAACGGAAAGGCCCAAGCUUGCUUGGGUACUCGAGUGGCGAACGGGUGAGUAACACGUGGGUGAUCUGCCCUGCACUUCGGGAUAAGCCUGGGAAACUGGGUCUAAUACCGGAUAGGACGAUGGUUUGGAUGCCAUUGUGGAAAGUUUUUUCGGUGUGGGAUGAGCUCGCGGCCUAUCAGCUUGUUGGUGGGGUAAUGGCCUACCAAGGCGUCGACGGGUAGCCGGCCUGAGAGGGUGUACGGCCACAUUGGGACUGAGAUACGGGCCAGACUCCUACGGGGGGCAGAAGUGGGGAAUAUUGGACACUGGGCGCAAGCCUGAUGCAGCGACGCCGCGUGGGGGAUGACGGCCUUCGGGUUGUAAAAUCCUUUCGCUAGGGACGAAGCGUUUUUGUGACGGUACCUGGAGAAGAAGCACCGGCUAACUACGUG
rnacentral:rRNA from 1 species